rnacentral:rRNA from 1 species
UACGAGAGGCCCAAACGUUAUUCGGGAUUACUGGGCUUAAAGAGUUCGUAGGCGGCGCAGAAAGUAGGGUGUGAAAGCCCUCGGCUUAACCGAGGAAUUGCGCUCUAAACUACUGUGCUUGAGGAAUCUAGAGGUGAGCGGAACUGAUGGUGGAGCGGUGAAAUGCGUUGAUAUCGGGAGGAACACCAAUGGCGAAGGCAGCUCGCUGGGACGUGACUGACGCUGAGACGCGAAAGCGUGGGGAGCAAACAGG